CCACAGUCAAGAUUAUCGUCUAACUACACAAGAAAUAGCAAGGACAAGUGAAAUCAACAAGUUGUUGGAAGAACUCUAGAUGCUGCAGCUUAAUUGUAUAUCCCUUUUGAUAGAAACUAACGAAAGUACAUUGUUAGUUCCUUGUAUACUGAUAUUAUUUUUGUAAAUUGGCCCCCCUAAAAUUCCAUUACAUAAUAACUGCUGACAUAAAUUAUAUAUAGAUUAUUUUAUCUGAUUGACUUAUAAUAUUAUUUGCAUUACCUUUCUCGGAACUAACAUUUGUAUAUCUAAACCGAAAUGCAUUUCCUUUCUUUUGUUUUCUAACUUCCGAGAGGAGAACGAUUUCACUGUUCUAGGCUCCAAUGAAUAGAACUUUUCCUUUUCUAUCUUUGGCAAAUGGAAUUAUGUUUAGUUUAUGGAAAGAGUAAUAGAAUACAGCUUUUAGCCUUUCAAUUUCAAGAACAAUGCAAAGGC
rnacentral:lncRNA from 1 species